rnacentral:rRNA from 1 species
GAUGAACGCUGACAGAAUGCUUAACACAUGCAAGUCAACUUGAACUUCGGUUUGGGUGGCGGACGGGUGAGUAACGCGUAACGAACUUGCCUCACAGCUAGGGACAACAUUUGGAAACGAAUGCUAAUACCUGAUAUUAUGAUUUUAGGGCAUCCUAGAAUUAUGAAAGCUAUAUGCGCUGUGAGAGAGCUUUGCGUCCCAUUAGCUAGUUGGAGAGGUAACGGCUCACCAAGGCGAUGAUGGGUAGCCGGCCUGAGAGGGUGAACGGCCACAAGGGGGCUGGAGAGAGGCCUAUACAACUACUGGAUGCUGCAGUAGUGUAUAGUGGACAAUGUUGAUAGAGGAUAAGUAAGGAAUUUUUGGGUCACGAGAAAAUAUUACCGGAUCUAAGGGGCUUUGAGGUGGCAAAAAAAGUCCCAAGGGCCGAACAAAAGGAGUGAAAGCUCAAUACACC